rnacentral:sRNA from 1 species
UUCCUAUUUUUCAGAAUAGUUCCUUGCGGGACAAACCACUUUGUGAUAUAUUUGUGACAACCAUUCCGGACUGGAUUACAUCUUAAAUAAGAGUUUGAAAGUUGUUUGGUAAUUACGGCACAAAUGUGCAAACGUUCUAGGAGGCAUUCACAUGCAAACAGGUAAAGUAAAAUGGUUUAACGCAGAAAAAGGUUUUGGUUUCAUCGAAGUUGAAGGUGGAGACGACGUAUUCGUACACUUUUCAGCUAUCCAAUCUGAAGGAUUCAAAUCACUUGACGAAGGUCAAGAAGUAGAAUUCGAAAUCGUUGACGGAGCUCGCGGACCACAAGCAGCUAACGUAACUAAAAAAUAAGUUUAAACUUAUAUACGAAACCGGCAUACUGUUGCCGGUUUUUUUCU